ensembl:lncRNA
UGGGGUAUGAUCCAAGUGAAGCUGUAAGUGAACUCUUAUUUUAAGCCAAAUCUCCCUCAAAGUGGCCCCACCAAUUUUUUUUUUUCUCCCUGCCACUGAAGAGCGUGCUCCUUCUCACCCUGUUAGAUUCUACUAGCACGGAUAUUCUUUAAAAAACAGGUGCACUAAAAUCUACGUCCUGUCCUUUUGUCCACCGUGCUUUCUCUACUGCAUUUGCCCUCAGUGACCCGAUUGCCUCCAUUGUAACUGAAGGUGGGGGUCCAGCUGCUUGCUGCUCAACAGCCAAUAAGGAGGCAAGCAGCAAAUAUGGUGCUUUGGACUCUUGGCAAGAACACUGGCAAAAUUCCAACGAGCCAGUCUUUUUGGAAGACUUUGAUCCCGGCCAACAUGGUCUACUCUUUCAAUUAAAAAAAUUAAAAAGUGAAGAAAAAGUCACAGUAUAUUAUGAUUCUCAGGUGGGGUCACACCCACAGUACAUUUGGCAGAGUUCCAUCUGUCCCCUGAGAGACAAGAAUCUUGCCUAGAGCUGUCUUUUAUCACUAAAAAACUUCAAGUCAGGAUCACAGAGGUCUCAUAUACGUCAUUGAGAGCAUGGCUUUCCUCUGAACUUGGCAGGUGAAAUGGGUUGACUCCUACCUUCUUCUGGGAUCCAUGCCAAAUCCCUGUGGAGGGCUGGAUGGUUUUCUCGGGGAAAACUCAAGGAGCCACCGAGGGUAGGAUUAUGGGGUGGCAGGUAUGGUGGGAAGAUAGAGGAAUUGUAAUUUGUGAAGGAAAAUUAAGGGAAAAAGAACUCUCUUCUCAUUUUUAAAACUCAGCUACCAUCACUUUACGUGCCCUGACACUGUGAUCUGUGCUUCUGGGUUUAAUGCUGCUGUUCUGUCUGGCCUGCAGCAUUAGGGCAUGAAACUUCCAAUGGAAUUUGCCAGAUGAUUAACGAGUUGGUCAGAACAGAAAGCUAAUAAACAUUAUUUUUUUUCUAGUAGUAUUUUCCUAUGACCAUGUUUCCAAAUAAAAGCUCUCAAAUAG